GACGAACGCUGGCGGCGUGCCUAAUACAUGCAAGUCGAACGCUGAAGGAGGAGCUUGCUCUUCUGGAUGAGUUGCGAACGGGUGAGUAACGCGUAGGUAACCUGCCUGGUAGCGGGGGAUAACUAUUGGAAACGAUAGCUAAUACCGCAUAACAGUAGAUGUUGCAUGACAUUUACUUAAAAGGUGCAAUUGCAUCACUACCAGAUGGACCUGCGUUGUAUUAGCUAGUUGGUGGGGUAACGGCUCACCAAGGCGACGAUACAUAGCCGACCUGAGAGGGUGAUCGGCCACACUGGGACUGAGACACGGCCCAGACUCCUACGGGAGGCAGCAGUAGGGAAUCUUCGGCAAUGGACGGAAGUCUGACCGAGCAACGCCGCGGGAGUGAAGAAGGGUUUCGGAUCGUAAAGCUCUGUUGUAAGAGAAGAACGAGUGUGAGAGUGGAAAGUUCACACUGUGACGGUAUCUUACCAGAAAGGGACGGCUAACUACGUG
rnacentral:rRNA from 1 species